GCACUGCUUCUGAGCUUUAUGAAUCUUUUGUUUCGAAUUAGUGAUUCGGAUCUCCUAUCAAACGGCUAAACUGCUGAAAUCACGUGACUUUGGCUCUCGAAUCCACUGAUUCGAUUCGUAAAGCUCUGAAUCAGUAAUUUGAAAUCGUCCCAUCACUAUAUAUUGUUGAAAAGUCGUUAUUUUUUUUUUAUUUUUUUUGGCGCACAAAAAGUAUUCUUGUCGCUUUAAAGUAUUAAAAUAGAACCACUGAACUCACAUGAACUGUUUCAAAUAUGUUUUUAGUACCUUUAUGGACCUUGAGUUUUUCAGUGGCUUUGCUCUCAAUAGAGGCCUCACUGAGCCAUCGGAUUUCAUCAACAAUAUCUUAAUUUGUGUUCCGAAGAUGAACGAAGGUCUAACGGGUAUAGAACGACAUGAGGGUGAGUAAUAAAUGACAUUAUUUUCAUUUUUGGGUGAACUAACACUUUAAUGCGUAGUGACUGACCACACUUCGUGCUACACUACAGGCUAAAAUCACAUGUGUUUGGCUAAUGGCUCCACCUAGUGGUGGUUCCCGCAAUGAAGCCUAUUGGGACUUGUGAAGUUUUACUUGGACGAAAAGUACAAAAUGUUUUAAAACCGAAUAUUGGUCCAAAAAAACAUUAUAACAGAUUGAAAACAUAUUUCUUAAUUCCCUGGAAUGUCUGGAAUCUUGCAGGGAAUUAUACUAUUAGCAUUUCGUUCUCACAUCCUCUCCCUCCCUCUGUUCAUAAUCUGGGUUUGAAGGACAGAGAAGCAGUUCCCUCAGUGCUGCUGACAAAUGAGAGAGAGAGAGAGAGAGAGAGCAAAGGAGUGUCUGUGUGGUGGAUAUAAAAGGACACAAUCCAGACCUGCAGCUGUGAAGUGAAGAACAACAGGAUGUCGAAGGACCAGCUGGACUCAGUGGUGAGCCACGCGGAGGGUUUGCUCUCAUUGGCCGUUCAGCUGCACGCGCAGUGUCAGGAGGAAAGCGCGCAGAUGGCCGCUCUAGCCGAGCAGCUGAGAGAGGAAGGCCAUAGUCUCCUCAGCCAAAGCGACGUGCUUCAACAGGACAUGGCUGAGAUGUGCAAAACGCUGGAAGCUCUGAUAGACACUAAAGUGGCGUUUGAAGCCAAAGAGAGGCAGGCUCGCAAACUAAGCAAGCAACUCUGAAACACAGCGGGAAAAUAGCUUGUCCAGCAAUUCAAAUUUAAUGAAAUUUGAAAUUACUUUAAAAUCCAAUCCUGAGACAACAAUAAUUUCUCAACAAAUGUGUGAGUUUGAGGCGGUGUUUGCUCGACCAGUAGCGGAUGUGUAGAGUGUUUGGCAAAACUUAAAGGAAUAGUUCACCCCAAAAUGAAAAUUAUCCCAUUAUUUACUCACCCUCAAGCCAUCCUAGGUGUAUAUGACUUUUUUCUUUCAGCCAAACACUAUCAGACUUGUAUUAAAUAAUAUCCUGGCUCUUCCCAGCUUUGUUAUGGCAUUAAAUAGUGCCCGAGUUUUUGAAGCUCCAAAAUGUGCAUCCAUCCAUCAUAAAAAUAAUCCAUAUGACUCCAGUGGCUUAAUAAAUGCCUUCUGAAGCAAAGCGAUGGUUUUUGUAAGACAAAUACCCAUAUUUAAAACUUAAUAAACUAUAAUCUCUGGCAAUGGCCGUACGCACAUUCAUGAAAGUCGAGUUCUGGCAGAAGGGUGACCUCUGACCUCUGAUAGAAGAUAGUCAUAUACACCUAGGAUGGCUUGAGGGUGAGUAAAUUAUGAGAUAAUUUUUAUUUUUGGGUGAACUAUCCCUUUAAACCAUCAUGAGUUGGUGGGGCAGAAAUGACACACAUCAACUUUAAAUGUGGCGUCUUUUUCUUUUAAUCUUCUAAACACUCCACAGCUCACAUUUGUAAAUAAUCAGUAUUAUUACACUGAGCACACAAAAAAUUAAUUUUUGAUUUUGCAAGGCACUGCCAUAAAUAUGGAUACAGAUCGCCUUCUGAUCUUCACAUUUAGCUGUUAUUUUAAGAUGUUAAAUGAUGGUACUGAGUGCUGUAUGACUGUAAUAGAAUGACACACACACACACACACACAUAUACAUACAGUAUAUAUAUAUAUAUAUGUGUGUGUGUGUGUGUGUGUAUACAUACAUUUUGUAUGCCAUUCUAAGUGAAGUUAAAUGUUCAUAAACGUUCAUGUCAAAAUAUGAUUAAUGAUCUAAAAUAUUGAUAAUUGUAUAAUAUUUACAUAAAUAUUAACUAAACUGUACCUAUUGACUGUUGUCUAAGGCAACCGAUUUCAUACAUAGCUGUGCUAGUUUUAUGUCUUGUGUGGCACUCAGCAGUCAAUUUCUUGUAACAUAAUUUCAUUUUUACAUCAUUUAUUCAUUUACUUGCUAAAUAUCCAUGUAUUAAACAGGAUAAAACCACUUCAAGGUAUAGAAGAGCCCUCCUGUUCAUUUUGGGGAUUACUUUCCUGAUUACUUUAUUUUGCAACAAUGGUUGGUUGACUCGUCUUAUAUCCAUCAUGUCCAAUGACAUGUUCUUAGGCAUGUCAAUUGGCUCUCUGGACAUAUCUUUAAACUUUGUAUAUAUUAUUGUAGCUAUCACAUCAAAGCACUAUUUAGAUGAAUAAUUAAAUAAAAAUUCAAGUGUUGCCACAAAAA